UACGUAGGGUGCAAGCGUUGUCCGGAAUCAUUGGGCGUAAAGCGCGCGUAGGUGGCCAUUUAAGUCCGCUGUGAAAGUCAAAGGCUCAACCUUUGAAAGCCGGUGGAUACUGGAUGGCUAGAGUACGGAAGAGGCGAGUGGAAUUCCUGGUGUAGCGGUGAAAUGCGCAGAUAUCAGGAAGAACACCCGUGGCUAAGGCGGCUCUCUAGUACGGUACUGACGCUGAGACGCGAAAGCGUGGGGAGCGAACAGG
rnacentral:rRNA from 1 species